GCCAGUGUGGUAUAGUGGUUUGGGUGUUGGACUAGGACUCUGGAGACCAAGGUUUGAAUCCCUGCUUGGCCA
rnacentral:tRNA from 1 species